GAUGAACGCUGGCGGCGUGCCUAAUACAUGCAAGUCGAGCGAACAGACGAGGAGCUUGCUCCUCUGACGUUAGCGGCGGACGGGUGAGUAACACGUGGAUAACCUACCUAUAAGACUGGGAUAACUUCGGGAAACCGGAGCUAAUACCGGAUAAUAUAUUGAACCGCAUGGUUCAAUAGUGAAAGACGGUUUUGCUGUCACUUAUAGAUGGAUCCGCGCCGCAUUAGCUAGUUGGUAAGGUAACGGCUUACCAAGGCAACGAUGCGUAGCCGACCUGAGAGGGUGAUCGGCCACACUGGAACUGAGACACGGUCCAGACUCCUACGGGAGGCAGCAGUAGGGAAUCUUCCGCAAUGGGCGAAAGCCUGACGGAGCAACGCCGCGUGAGUGAUGAAGGUCUUCGGAUCGUAAAACUCUGUUAUUAGGGAAGAACAAAUGUGUAAGUAACUAUGCACGUCUUGACGGUACUUAAUCAGAAAGCCACGGCUAACUACGUG
rnacentral:rRNA from 1 species